rnacentral:tRNA from 1 species
GCUAACGUGGCUCAAUGGUAGAGCAGCGCAUUCGUAAUGCGCAGGUUGGAGGUUCGAUUCCUCUCGUUAGCUCCA